AAUCAACGCUGGCGGCGUGCCUCAGACAUGCAAGUCGAACGCGAAAGUCCCCUUCGGGGGACAAGUAGAGUGGCGCACGGGUGAGUAACACGUAGGUAAUCUACCUUUGGAUGGGGAAUAACAACCGGAAACGGUUGCUAAUACCGCAUAAUGCAGCGGCACCUAAUGGUGACAGUUGUUAGAGCGGGGGAUCGAAAGACCUCGCGUCUGAAGAGGAGCCUGCGGCGGAUUAGCAGUUGGUAAGGUAAUGGCUUACCAAGGCUACGAUCCGUAACCGGCCUGAGAGGGCGGUCGGUCACACUGACACUGACAUACGGGUCAGACUCCUACGGGAGGCAGCAGUGGGGAAUCUUGCGCAAUGGGCGAAAGCCUGACGCAGCGACGCCGCGUGAGGGAUGAC
rnacentral:rRNA from 1 species